UACGUAGGGUGCAAGCGUUAAUCGGAAUUACUGGGCGUAAAGCGUGCGCAGGCGGUUUUGUAAGUCAGAUGUGAAAUCCCCGGGCUUAACCUGGGAACUGCAUUCGAGACUGCAUUGCUAGAGUAUGGGAGAGGGAAGUGGAAUUUCCGGUGUAGCGGUGAAAUGCGUAGAUAUCGGAAGGAACAUCAGUGGCGAAAGCGACUUCCUGGACCAAUACUGACGCUCAUGUGCGAAAGCGUGGGGAGCAAACAGG
rnacentral:rRNA from 1 species